AUUGAACGCUGGCGGCAGGCCUAACACAUGCAAGUCGAGCGGAUGAAGGGAGCUUGCUCCUGGAUUCAGCGGCGGACGGGUGAGUAAUGCCUAGGAAUCUGCCUGGUAGUGGGGGAUAACGUCCGGAAACGGGCGCUAAUACCGCAUACGUCCUGAGGGAGAAAGUGGGGGAUCUUCGGACCUCACGCUAUCAGAUGAGCCUAGGUCGGAUUAGCUAGUUGGUGGGUAAAGGCCUACCAAGGCGACGAUCCGUAACUGGUCUGAGAGGAUGAUCAGCCACACUGGAACUGAGACACGGUCCAGACUCCUACGGGAGGCAGCAGUGGGGAAUAUUGGACAAUGGGCGAAAGCCUGAUCCAGCCAUGCCGCGUGUGUGAAGAAGGUCUUCGGAUUGUAAAGCACUUUAAGUUGGCAGGAAGGGCAGUAAGUUAAUACCUUGCUGUUUUGACGUUACCAACAGAAUAAGCACCGGCUAACUUCGUG
rnacentral:rRNA from 1 species